rnacentral:rRNA from 1 species
UGGGGAAUAUUGCACAAUGGGCGCAAGCCUGAUGCAGCCAUGCCGCGUGUAUGAAGAAGGCCUUCGGGUUGUAAAGUACUUUCAGCGGGGAGGAAGGUGUUGAGGUUAAUAACCUCAGCAAUUGACGUUACCCGCAGAAGAAGCACCGGCUAACUCCGUGCCAGCAGCCGCGGUAAUACGGAGGGUGCAAGCGUUAAUCGGAAUUACUGGGCGUAAAGCGCACGCAGGCGGUGUGUCAAGUCGGAUGUGAAAUCCCCGGGCUCAACCUGGGAACUGCAUUCGAAACUGGCAGGCUAGAGUCUUGUAGAGGGGGGUAGAAUUCCAGGUGUAGCGGUGAAAUGCGUAGAGAUCUGGAGGAACACCGGUGGCGAAGGCGGCCCCCUGGACAAAGACUGACGCUCAGGUGCGAAAGCGUGGGGAGCAAACA